CCUACGGGAGGCAGCAGUGGGGAAUAUUGCACAAUGGGGGAAACCCUGAUGCAGCGACGCCGCGUGAGUGAAGAAGUAAUUCGUUAUGUAAAGCCCUAUCAGCCGGGAAGAAAAUGACGGUACCUGAGUCAGAAGCCCCGGCUAACUACGUGCCAGCUGCCGCGGUAAUACGUAGGGGGCAAGCGUUAUCCGGAUUUACUGGGGGUAAAGGGAGCGUAGACGGCAGUGCAAGUCUGGAGUGAAAGGCGGGGGCUCAACCCCGGAAUGCUCUGGAAACUGUACGGCUGGAGUGCAGGAGAGGUAAGUGGAAUUCGUGGUGUAGCGGUGAAAUGCGUAGAUAUGAGGAGGAACACCAGUGGCGAAGGCGGCUUACUGGACUGUAACUGACGUUGAGGCUCGAAAGCGUGGGGAGCAAACAGGAUUAGAUACCCUUGUAGUC
rnacentral:rRNA from 1 species